GCUAAAGAAACGCCAGCGGCCGCGGUAAUGCGGAUGGUCCAAGGGUGAGUCCGAAAUACUGGGCGUAAAUCUGGCGCCGGCGGUUUGGCAGGACCGUAGUGAAAGCCCCGAGCUUAACUUAGGAAUUGCAUUGGUGACUGAACGGAUAAAGGGUGUCAGAGGUGGGUAAGAUUCCACGUGUAGCAGUGAAAUGCGUAGAGAUGUGGAGGAAUACCGAUGGCGAAGGCAGCCCCCUGGGAUAACACUGACGCUCAUGCACGAAAGCGUGGGGAGCAAACAGGAUUAGAUACCCGAGUAGUC
rnacentral:rRNA from 1 species